UUUGGAAUUAGAAUGAUACAAUCAAUUGAAGAGUCACCAUACAAGGUCAAUUGGCUGUGACAAGAUUGUUUUGAGAAACUUAUUAGAAUCGCAUCAACGUUUAUUCAAUUGAAGUUCAUACGAUUGUCAAUGUUUAUUGUCGGUUAAAAAUGUGUAUGAGCAGUGAGCACAUAUCAGUAUCAGUACAAAAGGGCACAUUCUCUUCUCUUUUUUUUAUCACACAAACAAAUUAUUAUAACGCGCAUGCUUUGUACCCGAUCGCCCGAAGGUACCUCAUUUGAAUAUCCUCGCAAUCCAUUUGAACUACUCACCUUUGAUGAUCGAAUGACAGAGAAAAAAAGGCAUCUGGAUCUACAUUUCAAAUAAAUCACGAUUUGUUUCCAGCUCACGAUAUAGAUUUUCAUCGGAAAAUUCAAAAUGAAAAAUAAUAAAAAGAAAACUGCAUUUUAAUUUCCAUGUAAUUGAUUGCUUUAUUUUCGAUUUUCGUUACUGCAUCUACUCUUGUCAAAUUUAUCUUAUGACUUUAUAACAUUGUAUAUUUGUGCCAUUUUGUAAAUAGAAUCUUCCAUUUUUGUUUUUCAUUUAAUAUCAUUGAGCAUUUUCAAUAAGAAAAAAAGUGUUUUUCUUCUGUUUGCAAAGUUUGUAAAUAUAGGUAAAUUUGAUCUGCUUAGCUUAAAUCUAUGAAAAAGGCAUUCAUUUAUUGUAAAAACUAUGUGUUGAGCAUCUCUUGUCAUGGCGAUACCUUCUAAACAACGAAAUUUUGCUCUGUUCGUCAAUUUGUUUAAAAAGUGUCGGCAAUCACAAAAACAAACACCUUCAAAUAUUUUAGAGAUUUUUUUCAUCUCUUUUGCUCAUGAAAAAUUUGAACGCAUGUGUUUUCGGUGUGUCAGGCUGAUGAAAUUGUGUCGCUGCAUUUUACUUUCUUUUUCAUUUUGUAUCACACAAAAUGCAAUCGCAAAAUUUCCCAAUUUUUCUUCGUCACACAGAUUCCUAUUGAGAAUUACUUAUACUUUAGCUUUUUUUUAUUGGUCAAUUUCAAUUGUCAAAUUCGUUUCGUGUAUACAUAUUUCAUUGUAA